rnacentral:rRNA from 1 species
GAUGAACGCUGGCGGCGUGCCUAACACAUGCAAGUCGAGCGCGAUUAAGUGGAGUGAGAACUUCGGUUCAAGUGAAACUUAUGAAAGCGGCGGACGGGUGAGUAACGCGUGGGUAACCUGCCCCAUACAAAGGGAUAGCCACUGGAAACGGUGAUUAAUACCUUAUAAGUCGGUAGUCUCGCAUGAGACAGCCGACAAAGAUUUAUCGGUAUGGGAUGGACCCGCGUCUGAUUAGCUAGUUGGUGAGGUAACGGCUCACCAAGGCGACGAUCAGUAGCCGACCUGAGAGGGUGAUCGGCCACACUGGAACUGAGACACGGUCCAGACUCCUACGGGUGGCAGCAGUGGGGAAUAUUGCACAAUGGGCGCAAGCCUGAUGCAGCAACGCCGCGUGAGUGAUGAAGGCUUUCGGGUCGUAAAACUCUGUCCUAUGGGAAGAAAAAAUAGACGGUACCAUAGGAGGAAGCCCGGCUAACUACGUGCCAGCAGCCGCGGUAAAG